CGUCUAAGGGGACUGAGCAAUGGAGGAUGGAGAAGGGGCUAUGUCAUACCACAUCAUCAUACCACAACUUGCACCUUAUAGCUCUGUUGCCACGGUAAUCAAAACAGACCAUUUCCUCGUGUCGAGUGAGAGGCUUGUGGUUAGAGCAGGGUGCGAUGAUGAGUGGCGCCUCAGAAGAGGAAAUCACAGAUAAAGGGGAAGAUGAGAUGAGAAAGCUGGACAAUUAGACAUGAUGAUAGGGGCUCUGAUUUCCCUUGCCCUGUGCCUUCCUCACCUCUUCGCCACUCUUGUCCUCCAUUCCACCAUUGCGGCUUCACCGAGCGCCACAGAAACCACAACAUCAGUUCUAGACCUUAGUAUCAGCACUCCAACAUCAGACCCCCUGAUGCUUCCACUCUCCACAACUGAAAACCACCCUGGUAGGACUAGUGGAACGGCUAAAACACAAUUGAAGAAAAGCACUCGCUUAGCAGCUGUCAACAACUCAGGCAGAACGACUCAAGGAAGAGGCAUUCUCAGAACAGGAACUGCCACUUACGCCACCACAGCCGUACAGAAGAGCAACAGGCACACAACUGCAGGAGACUUGAGGAAGGAAACAGAGAGCCACAAUCACCAUGAGACUCUUCCCUUCAGCAGACACACAGCCUCACCCACAACUGACCACCCCAGCACCACCACUCUCCCCAGGGAGGAAGGGACUGGGUAUCAUGACAGCAGCAACAUUGAAAUAGCCAGAGAACUGAACACACCAAAUUCCAUAGAUACUUGGGCUGCUGACACCAGUAAUGACUCCAGGCUAGCGAAGCCACACUUAGACAGAUCACAAGCAGCAGACCAGCACACUGCUACACAAGGACUAGAGACUGCUUCAGGAGAUUACCACACAACACAGAGAGACUUCUUCACAAUCACCCCAACUAGUAGAGCGUCAGGUUUGAACAGAGGUAAACAAAGUAAGGCCAACAGCGUCGCAACAACAACGACGGUUUCACCUACGUACACAGUCACACGUCCUGGUUUGUAUGAGCACAUGACCGUGACUUACAGGGCUACCGGCUACAAAACACAACCUGACGACACAAGCCAGUCUAAGGACUACACCACAGCCACAGUUUCAAUCCCCCAUGCUGACAAUAGCACAGCUCCAUAUAUCAAUGCAAACACAUUUACAGAUAAUAACACAGACAACUACACAGACACACUUUCAUACAGUAAUACCACAACCUCUAAUCAUUGUAACACAACAGUACAUUUGAAUAAGAAAACUCAUACUCAUUCCCUCGGAUACAACCACACAAUCUCAGGCUAUGACAACAGGCUGAACAACACAACUGAAAACAAUGUGCAUCAUCGUCCUGAGUGCGGAGAGGCAGAUGAAAGGUCCCCACCAUUGUCUCCUGGCUCUACUAGACUGGUCUGUUUCAUUGUUCUGUGGGCUCUGGGAUUGACUGCUUCGGUCUUCCUUGGUCUCACUGUCUUCCUAUCGGUGCGUUUGUCAGUCCAGAGAGAGAGGGAGAGGAGAGUGAGGAGAGGAGGAGAGAAGGUGUCAGGGGUGGAUCUGGAGAAUCUGUGGGUUGACCAGAUAUCAUCGGUGGAGGAGAGGGUGGAAUUCUGGUACGCCAACGGCUCCACCAUGGGACCCGGCCAUAAACUGAGGGAGAGAGGGAGGGAGAGGGGGAGGAGCGAGCAGGGGAGGCAGAAAGGGGUAGAGUGUGACAACCUGUGGACUCAACCCAAAGUGACACUGGAGGAUAUCACUGAUUUCUGGUAUGCAAAUGGAAGCGCGAUACCAGAAGAAACUACAGACCAAACAUUUUUGGAGACCUGCGUAUGAUUCAGUUUUUUGUACUACAGUGCUACAAUUUACCUGGAAUUACUUUGGAGAGAAAUGUUCAUGCUUAGUUCACCAAUUCCACGGCAGAUUUGAAAACUAUAAUCCUGACAGAGUUGAAACAUUUCCAAUAUGAAUUGAUAAUCUGUAUGUUUAUUGGCUGUAACAAAAGUAUAAGAUCUACAUAAGUCUACUGAAAGACAGAUUAAGCCUGGGUCUGAUCAGAGAGAGAGGAAUAGAGAGAGAGAGAUUAGAACAACAUGUCUAACUGGAAAUAACACUUGAUAAGAGAGUUCCCAUUUUAAGACAAUUCAGACCUUGUUAGUGACACAUCAUCGUCAUGUGUCAAACAGCAACGAAGAGAAAGGUGCCAUUUCUACAAACACACCGAGACAAAUACUGUUGACUCCUAAUACUGUACAUGCACUGUUAUCAGGAGCUAGUCAAAUAAAAAUGAUUGGUGAACUGCACUGGGCAUAAACAAUUUAGCUUAAUUUAUCUGACUGACACGUUUUCAUGCGUACUGUAUUCCAGAUAAUAGCUUAGUUAAGGUCUUAUUAUAGAUAAGCUGUUUAAAUACAAUUUGAUUUGAAAGGUGUAUGUCACAUUCACGUGUUUAGCAGAUGUUAUUGCAGGUGUAGCGAAAUGCUUGUGUUUCUAGUUCCAAUAGUGCAGUAAUAUCUAACAAGUAAUAUCCACAAUCUAAAGUAAAGGAAUGAAUUAAGAAUAUAUAAAUAUUUGGACGAGCAAUGUCAGAGUGGCAUAGACUAAGAUACAGUAGAAUAUGAUAGAAUAUAGUAUUUACAUAUGAGAUGAGUAAUACAAAAUAUGUAAAAGUGGUCAGUGCGGGGGGGGUGGGGGGAUGCUCCCGUGCUCCCUCUGCUGUUUCCUGAAGUCUGCGAUCAGCUCAUUGGUUCUGCUGACGUUACGUGAGAGGAUAUUUUCCUGGCACCACACUCCCAGGGCCUUCACUUCCUCCCUGUAGGUUGUCUCGUAAUUGUUGGUAAUCGGGCCUACUACUGUUAGGUGAUCUGCAAAAUUGAUGAUUGAGUUGGAGGAGUGCAUGGCCACGUAAUCAUGGGUGAACAGGGAGUACAGGAGGGGGCUGAGCACGCAUCCUUGUGGAAACCCAGUGUUGAGGAUCAGCGAAGUGGAGGUGUAGUUUCCUACUUUCACCACCUGGGGGCAUCCCGUCAGGAAGUCCAGGACCCAUUUGCACAGGGCGGAGUUCAGACCCAGGGCCUCGAGCUUAAUGAUGAGCUUGGAGGGUACAAUGGUGUUUAAUGCUGAGCUAUGUCAAUGAACAGCAUUCUUACAUAGGUAUUCCUCUUGUCCAGAUGGGAUAGGGCAGUGUGCAGUGCGAUGGUGAUUGUACAGUCUGUGGACCUAUUGAGGCGGUAAGCAAAUCGAAGUGGGUCUAGGGUGUCAGGUAAGGUAGAGGUGAUACGAUCCUUGACUAGUCUCUCAAAUCACUUCAUGAUAACAGAAGUGGGGGGGCGAUAGUCAUGUAGUUCAGUUACCUUUGCUUUCUUGGGUAGACGAACAAUAGUGGACAUCUUGAAGUAUGUGGGGACAACCGACUGGAAUAGGGAGAGAUUGACUAUGUCCUUAAACCCUCCAGCCAGCUGGUCUGCGUAUGCUCUGAGGCUAGGGAUGCAGUCUGGGCCGGCAGCCUUGUGAGGGUUAACACGCUUAAAUGUCUUACUCACAUCGGCCACGGAGAAGGAGAGUCCACAGUCCUUGGUAGCGGGCCACAUCGGUGGCACUGUGUUAUCCUCAAAGCGGGCGAAGAAGGUGUUUAGCUUGUCUGGAAGCAAGACGUCCGCGACAUGGCUAGUUUCCCCUUUAUAGUUCGUGAUUGUCUGUAGACCCUGCCACAUACGUCCCGUGUCUAAGACGUUGAAUCGUGAAGCCGUUGACUCCACUUUGUCUCUAUACUGAUGUUUUGCCUAUGAUUGCCUUACGGAAGGAACUGAAUGCCUUCAACUGGAAUAUGUGUAUUCCACAUUUAACACAACCCCUCUGAAUCAGAGAGGUGCGGGGGCUGCAUUAAUCGACAUCCACGUCUUCGGCACCCAGUGAAGGAAUAACUAUACUGUUUGUAUUCAGCCAUAUUCCCAAUCACCUUGCAUGGUUAUAUGCGAUGGUUUUGGGGUAAUGCGGUUUCUGGUUAUGGUAGGUUUUAAUACUUACAGUGUGUACAACAUCUCCUAUACACUUCCUGAUAAUCCCACUCCCCGUAUCAGUGUAUUUAUUUGUCUAUGUUGUUCUCGGAGGCUACCUGGAACAUAUCCCAGAUUCUGAUUGGUCAGACCAGCGUUGAAUAGUCCUUAGCACGGGUACUUCCUCUUUGAGUUUCUGCCUAUAGGAAGGGAGGAGCAAAAUGGAGUCAUGAUCAGAUUUGCCAAAGGGAGGACAGGGAAGGGCCUUGUAGGCAUCCCAGAAGUUGGAGUUGAGUGUUGAAGGUUGAGUACUACAGGCAAUGUUUUGAUAGAACUUCGGUAAUGUUUUCCUCAAAUUUGCUUUGCUAAAAUCCUCAGCUACAAUAAAUGUGGCCUUAGCAUAUGUGGUUUCCAGUUUGCAUAAAGUCCAGUGAAGUUCUUUGAGGGCCGUCGUGGUGUCGGCUUGAGGGGGAAUAUACAGGGCUGUGACUAUAACCAAAGAGAAUUCUGUUGGGAGGUAAUACAGUUGGUAUUUGAUUGUGAGGUAUUCUAAGUUAGGUAAAAAAAAAGGACUUGAGUUUGUGUAUGAUAUCACAAUCACACCAUGAGUAAUUAAUCAUGAAACAUACAACCCCACUGACUGAACGGACUCAGAGAGUAUAUUCCGAGAGAGCCAUGAGUAUGUUACAAUCCCUGAUGUCUCUCUGGAAGGAAAUCCUUGCCCUGAGCUCGUCAACUUUAUAAUCCAGAGACUGAACAUUAGCGAGUAAUAUACUCAGAAUCGGUGGGUGGUGUGUGCACCUCCUGAGUCGAACUAAAAGUCAGCUCCGAGUAUCUCUUUUCCGCCAGCAGAGUUUUGGAACAGCCUCUUGGAUCAGAGGAGGAUCCGAUUCGGGAAGGUCUUAUUCCUGGUCAUAAUGCUGAUAAUGCUGGGGAGUUACCACCACUCUAAUAUCCAAAAGUUCUUCCCAGCUGUAUGUUAUAACACAAAACAUUUCUUGGGCUAAUAAUUAAAGAAAUAACACAAAAAAAUAUAUAUUAUACUGCAAAGUUUCCUAAGAACUUGAAGCACGACAGCCCUAUACGUCUAUCCACCGCUUACGAUUAUCCCUGCAUAAACAGAAUAUUCCUAAAUGUACCCAUGAUACAAAUCAUGUAAAACAACAGUGAACGGAAUAAGAUGUUUACAUGCCACAUUAUCCAGUCUACGAUCAGCAUAUCCCAGGCAUCUUAACUGGGUUUCUCAUAACUGGGAUACACGUUUAUUCGGGUUGUUGUAAACAGGAAUACUUGUGUAUCCCAAAUAAUAACGGAAUAUUGGUGUGCAUGUGAACAUGGUGACUGGAAUCGACUAUAGGACUACCUCAAAAUUGAUAAUGGAUCGGGCCAUUUGAUCAAUAAUGUAGAGCUGUAAAUACAGUAGAAAAUCUACCCCUCUAGAAUGUAAUACCCGACCAGCUGAAGUUUGACAUAUAAUGUCCCAAGAUGUGAAAAUAACAUGGACUGACAUAAUAAAAUGGCAUUUUCAUCAUACUCUCUCUACUUUGAAUUCUCACGUUUUGACAACUUACGCCCUUUGACUGCCAGCUCCCCAUACACACACACAUACACACACAUACACACACACACGCACGCACACAAACACAAACCCAUGCACACCGUCAAGCACACACACAUCCAAGUAGGCCUGUGUGUAGGCGUGCAAACACACCCUGGCUCAAACAUUUCAACACACACACACAGAUUCUUCGUAGGACCAACUUCUCCUUUUUCCUUAAGAAAAUAAGCACAUGACACAGUAAACCAAAUGAAGCUGCUCUUAAGUUACUUGGCAUCUCCCCACCUAUCCACCUCUCUCUCUUUAGUAGUUAACAAAACUGUUUUACGGAGAAUUUGAUACUCUUGACGGGAAGAGAUAGAGAGAACCAACUAGAGAGAAUAAGGGAGGGGUGAGAGAAAGGAGGGAGUGAACAGGAGGGAGGGACAGAGGAAGAGAGCGAGAGAAAGGUGCUUCAUACAAGUACUAGUGCAGGGGACGUCAUCCACACAGUACACGAGUUAAAGCCUAAUGCCUUUAUGGUGGAUUGAUCAUUUCAAACCCAACCGUUCUCUCCCAGCAACGUGUGGGUCUCGUGACUUUUUUGGUUCACCGUUGCUGCAAUCUCUCACGCUGCACCUGAAAUAGACAGCUGACAUACAGAAAAGUAAAGUGAAGUGCAGGGGGAGGAGAAAACGGAAGAGCGAGAGAGGAAGAGAAGGGUUGUGUCUUUCCGGCCUAUUUGCACACAAGUACACCCUAGUUAACCACAAGCCCAGCAACCAGGAGAGACAGCAAGAGAACAAAAGUUUGACUACGUAAAUGCACUUCAAAUGCUUAACACUCAGUCAAACCUUAGAUUAUUAACAAGAGCAAGGCCUGAAAGAAAGGGAAAAUUCGAGAGCAGUGAAGAUCAAAGCCUGACACAACCCUAGUCAAACCAAGAACCUCGGUAGCUGAUGACAGAUACUGCUUUUCUUUUCUAGAAUGUGAAUUUUUCUCCUCUAGACUUGUAAAACAAACCUGCAAUACCUUUCAAGCCACAAGGCUGUCACUGACGCACCUCAGAGAGAGGAAGACAAACACAAUCUGAGAGAGGUCAGCAAAACCCUUUAGUGACUGUUGACCUCCGUGACCCCUCUCAGUUCUUGCCCAGUAUGGAGUGGGUACGACUGAUGCUCGGGGCUAUGCUCCUCUCCCUCUCUCUGCCCAGUCUCCCUGCCCAAGAUAAUGUCCCCAUCACCGUACCUGAAUAUGGCAUGGCAGCACCUACUACUGAGGACGGCACGAUGGCAGCCUCUUCACCCGAGGCCACCACCAAGACAACGACUGCUCCUGUGGUCGUCACUACAGCACAGCCUGUCACUGAAAUCACCCUGGUAACUUCUGUUCCAGUACUUAUCAUAGAUAACAUCACUAUAGUACUAACAGACCCUGAGAUCACAACCGUUCAGGAGCCCACCUCUGAUGCACCAACUACUACUUCAGAGGCUGAGACGAUGACACCAUCCCCUGUGAUCACUGAAGGGCCUGUAGAUACGACCACUCCACCUGGCCCUAAAUCCACCCUCUCCCAAGACGUCCUGACUACCACCUCUUAUCUCCCAACCACAUCCCAGGACCACCUGACUUCUGUUAUCCCAGUCGGGCCCCUCCACACCACCCCUCAUCUGACGAAGGACUCCUUUACUACACCUGAACCUAUCCACACUGCCUCAGAGAGUACUGCCAGCCACACAGAGGGACUUACCCAAGCACCCGCCUCCCCAUCGGUCAACAGCGCUCCCAGCCAUUUCACAACCCCCGCUACGACCUCCACCUCCACAGAUCAUGACUCUACGGUGGGCAGGGUCAAGCGAAGUCCGCUCAGCUUGUUCUGGAUCAUCAUUGCCAGUCUCCUGGUCUGUGUUAUAUUCCCGGGCAUGGUCUACUGCAUAUAUCUGGGCCUCAGACGAAAGAGGCAGUGCCGCACAGAGUACUUUGGGUCCGGCGUCCGGAACGGGAAGAGUUCCAAGUGGAAGAAAGGAACAGAGGAAGAUGCCUGGGCGGGGCCAGUGAAGCUAGGGGGCGGGGACAGGGAGGAGGGUGAGGGCGUGGAGGAGGGAGGGAGCCCAGAGGACAACAAGAGAGAGGGGGCUGGAACAGAUGUUGUGCUGAGCACAUUCAUAGCCAACGAGACCGAGGGAGAGAGGGGUGGGCCUGAUGGGGCAGUUGGAGUGGCUGGGAGCAAGGAGGCGGAGAAAUGGGAGGAGAAGGAGCCUCUGUUGUACAUUGAUGAGGGAGUGGAGGAGGUGCUGGAGAUAAUGGCUCCUCCUUCACUUUCAAAAUCUGACUCUGAGAAAAAGACAGGAGGGGGCAACAGAGAGGGGGAAAGUGAAAAGGAGAUGGAGAGGGGAGAAGGGAAUGGAAAGAAAGAAAAUGAGAGUGAAAGAGGUGAGCAGAAUGGAGGAGCGGCAUUCUGUCUAACGACUGCAGUUUAAAAAUAGAACAGUUUUCCAUGAAAAAAAAAAGGGGUUCUAGAUGAUAAUUGUAAAGGUUUCUAAUAUUUUUGUACUACUGAAAAGGCCUUUAACAUUGUAUUGAUCUGUGAUUGUGUGCUCUAUCAACAAAACAAAUGGUUGUGUGUAUAGCCAUACGUUUUACCAGUUGUAUUUUGUAUGGUGUUAUUUCUUAACCGUUUUCAGUUUAAUAAAGUUUUAGGAUGUGGAGAGAAUGUGCUAGAAUGAAGUUGUUGAACUUGACAGAAUAUGAAUACUUUUUGCUUAAUCAUUUGCUGUCCGCAAAUGCACUUUAUUUCUGGAACUGCUGGACUCAAUAGCACUCAAUUCAUAGGGAGGAAUCUUGACUUCCACUGAAGUUGAAUAUUCACUUAAUCAUGCAUUGAUGUCAAUGGGAGACUAAGUGAAUAUUUGACUUCAGUAGAAGUUAGGAUUUGUCUCAUAGUUAGGCUUUGAUUUUAUGUGUUGCCGAUUAUGGCCACUAGGUGGUGUCUUUCCCUAUCUUUAUGAUCAGAGAACAGUUAAAUUAUGUAACCUGCAGUAAAGAGCUGGUGUGGUGGUGACGCACAGGCCUUCCGUUCUAUUGGUCUGUUUUUGCACAGUUGCAUCUGUUGCAAACAUCUAGCAGAAAAACAACAGGUACCUCAAGCAGAGAUCAAACACAGUUUUUCAGGCAAACAACUAAAUCAGGGAAAACCCUCUGCUGUGAUGAAACCCACACAUGAAACCUAGAUAUAACAACAACCACUUUUACUAAGAUUGAUCACUGUAAAGGCAAUGUCCUUGGUAGGACAUGUUACGUACGUAAGCCAAAAUGUUCUAUUUUAUCCUGGUCAAAACUCCACUACACCCCUCAACCAUUUGUUCAGGAAGGGGAGGAAGUGUUGGGGGGAGGGGGGUGCAUACAACAGAAUCAGAGGAAAAGGAAGAGAAAAAAAAUCUGCUACUAUGGCAAAUGAAUGCCUUAAAUGUCUCUCUGCUGAAUAGGAUAAUCUGACAGAGAAUGUUUGUUUGGAGAGGGAGAAUGAGUGUGAGAGAGGAAGGGAGGGCGAGAGAGAGAUGUGAGUAAGGGGAUGGGGGUGAGGAGGAAGAGGCGAUGGAGGAGGGAUGGCAAAAAUAAUGAAAGGAGGAGGGGGAGCGAGAGAGAGAAAGAGAGAGAAGAGAGAGCGGCAACAACACAGUCACAUCUGGAAGUUAUUGAGAAGAGAAAGAGAGAGAACUGCAUUGUAAUAGAAAAGAGGGAGAAAGGAUAAACAAACUCUAGAUGUAGGGAUAGACUUAUAAAAAUGUAUCAACUGAGUUAAAGAUUUAAGGGAGGACAGUUUAUCUAAAGGUUGACAAGAAUUCUACAGUGGACAGAGAGAAAGGAAUUGAGGAAAAGAAAGAGCGAGCGCAAGAAACUGGAAUUCUAUCCUAAGAACAAUCCAUACCGAGAGGGGAGGACGACAAAGAGGGGAAACUCAAAUGUAGCUUUUUAAUCUGGAGGAUCGUUUAAAACAGAACAAAGGGGACUGAAUCCAAACAUAUGUCAUUGAGUUGAAAUAAAAUCAACUCAACAAAGAAGAAGAGCCAAGAGAACAAAAGAGGAUUCCCUAGCCUGGAAUUUUUCUACUCAUUUGUUUGUAUAUCAAGCCUGUGGAGCCAACCGUCAGACAGGAUGUCAGCCUCUCGGAGGUGCCUGUGCUGCGUGAAAUACCUCAUGUUCGUCUUCAACCUCAUCUUCUGGCUGGGAGGGUGUGGCCUGUUUGGAGUGGGAGUGUGGCUAUCAUUCACCCAGUCCGAGUUCUCCUCCCUCCCGCUGUCUUUUCCCUCACUCUCCGCAGCAAACCUACUUCUGGUCGCUGGAGGCGUCACCAUGGUGACAGGCUUCCUGGGUUGCCUUGGUGCCCUGAAGGAGCAGCGCUGCCUGCUGAUGACAUUCUUUGUAAUCCUUUUGCUCCUGGUCUUGACAGAGGUGACUCUAACCCUGGUCCUCCAUAUCUUUCACAAAGAGCUGGACACAAAAGCACAGAAUGAGUUAAAGGAGGGGAUGAAGGGUUACUUGACAGACGAAGGACUGAAGAAGUCAUGGGACAAUGUGCAGAAAAUGGUAGAGGGGGAUGGGGGGGUAGGGGAAACCCACCAAUCUCUAGUCUGUUACCUUAUUUGGUGCUUGUGUCUGUUCAGUGUGGAUUUAGUGAUAAAUCACUUACACUGACUGACGAUGAUAGUAAGGACUUUCUGAUCAUACAAAACAUCAAUAACACCUGCUCGUUCCAUGACAUAGACUGACCAGGGGAAUCAAAGGGGAGGAGACAGAUUCAAGGAAGAUUUUUAAGCCUUUGUAUGUGUGCCAUUCAGAGGACGAAUGAGGCAAGAAAAUAUUUAAGUGCCUUUGAACGGGGUAUGGUAGUAGUUGCCAGGCGCACCGGUUUGUGUCAAGAACUGCAAUGCUGCUGGGGUUUUCCACACUCAAAAGUUUCCCAUAUGUAUCAAGGUUGGUCUUCCAGCCAAUUUGACACAACUGUGGGAAGUAUUGGAGUCAACAUGGGCCAGCAUCCCGGUGAAAUGCAUUGCGUAUACUGCCAUGGGAUGCACGGAGUCGCUUUAGACUGAUAUAAAUCCUUAUUUCGUUAAAUGAUUUUCAAUUUGUGUCAUUAUUUCUCGUUUUGAACUUCUAAUAUGAGUGGGACGGGUGUGGCUUUGUGAGAACAACACGAGCAGACGCUCACUGAUGACAGCACUAAUUCAGUUACACACCCGACAUCGCCAAAACACCAGGGGUGCGUUCAGUUCACUUGAAUGUUUGCUACCUUGUGGAACAGCUUGUACUGAAUGCUUCCCCAAAAUGUUCUUGAACAGACAUUGAGGUACGUUUGCGUUGUUCGGUGGGUGUGCCGGUGUGUGGCUUGAAGCAAUGGCUGACGCAUUUAAAAGGCAGAAGUGCAUUUUGAAGUCAGGACCCAACCCCUCCCUGUUUUUCAACUGGUCGUUCAGUACAGCACAGUUUACGUUCAAUUUAACAUUCUAUUAUGUUUCAUGUAGUGCACGCAGCCCAGCUAUGCGGGUGUAGGCAAUCCCGGCCUUAGUGAUCAUUAAUGGGCCAUUGGCAGUUUUUUGGGGGGGGGAAAUCAGCUAACUUCCUGCAUUUCAACACAUUUUGGCAUGGUGCAGAGAGAAACAUUUGCAGUUUUAUAAUGCUAUUCUACACAUUUUGUCUUGAGGCUAAGAUAAAAUGUUGCCGUUUUAAAGCAAACUUCCUGCAAUUCUACACGUUUUGCUGAUUUAUAGCUCUCCACUGGGCACAAACUUCAAUUCCACAUCUAUUCCAUGUUGGUUCAACGCAAUUUCUUUGAAAUAACGUGGAAACAAGCUUGAUUCAACCAGUGAGUGCCCAGUGGGCCAUCUCACGCUUUUGUUCACAUUUUACCAUGAGACAGAAACAAUUGUGCAGUUGUACAGCUUAAUUUCCUGCAAAUCUACACAUUUUGCCAUCAUAUACUAUCUGGGGGACCCCAACCUCCAGGUGGGCCCCCCCAAAAAACAAAUAAAAAUAUUUUUAGGGGGGGUUGGGGGCCCCCUGGAGGUCAGGGGCAUGUGCCCUGCAUGCCUGUUCUGUAAUCCGGCCCUGUCCCCUCUCCCAUUUCAGGAAAAAGCUGAAUGAUGGGCUGGAGAAAGUAACCACUCUCAAAUUCAUAGAGCCAUGGAUGCCAGAGGGGUAUCCUACAAAGCAAGUUAGAUCUACUCAGAGUUUUCUAAAGCUAAACAGCUUCAGUUAGCUUCACAUUCCAGCUCAGGCUUCAUCCAUACUACAGCAGUGGAUAUUGCUUGGCCGGCUGUAGCUAACUCUAGCAAGCUUGUAACUGCGCGUGCAUGUCGCACAUGGCUAGCCGAACACCAGACUUUUCAUUAACACAAUGCUGAAAUGUCAAUCCAUGGGCGAGUCAGUGCCACAUUUUCAAUUGUGCCGAAACCAAAACGAAAGAAAAGUUAUCUUGCAAAUUCAGCAGUGUGAAAUAGGCUUUUAGAAAUGCAGUUAUUGUAUUUCUUAUCGUUAAUGCAGUCGUUUGUGUGCUUAUCAACUCCAUUUUCCCCCACUCCUAUCAAUAGUUAUUAAGUCAUACAAAAGUGUUACAUUGCGUGAAGUCGCAUUCUGUCAUUACAUUGCCUUCUGUCAUUACUAAAUGUGCAAUUUUAUAUUUUAACCAAAACAUUUUACACACAAAAAACUUUUGAUUAAUAAAAUAUUUAACCAGUCGACUUCCUCGAAUGAAGGGGACGAUGCAAUCUUUGCCAUAGGGAGGGAUCUGGUCCUCAACUUGCGGCUCAGUCAUUUCAUUCAGGGUAAAUGGAGUUAGCCUGAGUUCUGAAGAAUUCGUUGCCAUAGAAAUUUGCCUGGCUAAAAGAUGAGCCACGUUCGUAUGACCGGUAAUACCUAGUUGAACUCAAAGUUGACAUAAGCUGCCCCCUAACUCCUUCAACCUGCUUCGUAGUAUACCCAACGGAACUGACCAUCCAUGGUUUUACUUUGUUUAUAAACAUUGGAGUAAAACAAGCUUAUAUUUUGGGUGGAUCAAAACAGAUUGUGGUAAGACAGUUGCACUAAGCUCAUGAAGGCAUUUAUAAGUUAUAUUCUUCAAGAAUCAAUGGCUACAUAGCAUUCAUUCAUAUAUAUAUAUAUAUACAAAUAUGGAUGUAGCAAUGCAGAUUGACCCUUUAAAGGGCCCUUACUUAACCAGAGUCAGCAUGCUAUUUGUAGCUGUUCCAGUAGACUUCGAGCCAUUGCGCAAACAUUAGCUAGCAUUGGCUUCCGAAGAUACCUUCCUUCAUACUGGACAGAGACAUAAAAAUAGCAUCAAUGAGUUCAUCUGACUCUGCGUAAGUAGAAAAAGGGCCAACAUCUGGCACUAUCGCUUUAAAUCUCCUUGAUUGGCUAGAAAUGUACCUACAGCAUCAGUGAAUCUGAAGGGCUGUGCAGUUGCUGAUCCAGGGACACAUUUUUAGAGGCACAUUUUCAGACAAACUAACUAAGGAUCUGACAGAGUCAGAGACUAACAACUAUGCAAUAUUUGUUUCUAAGUUCAAGUGCUGCGGCGUCACCAACAAAACAGAUUGGUACCUCGUGGUCAAUGGAACGCUCCCCUUUUCCUGCUGCUCCGGUGGGAUGGACCAAUGUGUUGAAGAAUGGAUCGAGCCAUGUUAUCAGAAGGCCAGACAGUGGCUCCUGGACAACAUCCCCUCUGUCCUGGUGUUUGGAGUCUGCAUUGGUAUUGUCCAGAUCCUGGCCCUGAUUUUCUCCCUUCUGAUGUACUGCCAGAUCCUCCGUGCUGAGAAGUACCUGGACUGAUCUGGGACUGGUCCUUCACAGACAAGAGGCUGAAUGAGAGACUCCCUAGCUGGCACAGAGAGUUCAUGUAACGUUCCCUUAACGUUUUCCUUUGGUUAUUUGAAAAAGAACUUCCCCACAACGAUGUGGGAACUAAAAAGUGUUAGCUGGGUCCUGAAUGUGAGAUAACAGCUGCUUGGAAUGGUUUUUCAGAACAUUAAAUCCAGAUCAUCCUUGUGUUCAAUUCUGUUAAGUUUGAAGUAAAUAUAUUUUAAUGAGCACACACAUUUGAAGGGUUAUUUUCAUCUGGAUUGAUUGUUCUUAGAACACUACAUUAAAAACCAUGGGGCACAUUCCAGGUCAUCUUCAUUGCAGUCAUGUUGCUCAGAUCUCACAACGCCUGGAGAAGUGUAAUGAAAUUGUCUUCUAGAGAUCUGAUCAACACGACUGCAAUACAGCCAUGUAGUUAUACAGGAUAAGGAAUGACAUUAUUUGUAACUAUUGGGGACUACAUGCUGCUUGUUACUUUUACUAAUCAGGCGAUACAAAUUAUAUUGUUUAGUUGUGGAAAUGUAAAGUGCUUGCUCUGAUGCCCAUGGACAAGCAUUGGGAUUUGCCCCAAAGAAACAGUUAUAGUAUUCUGUUCAACUGCAGCAUCUUUUAACCAGAAGUCAAAACUAUAUAUGUUUAAAAGUGAGCCUUAUCAAAAGCAAAUAAAAUGUAAAUCCAUUGUAAUUUGUA